rnacentral:rRNA from 1 species
CCUACGGGUGGCAGCAGUGAGGAAUAUUGGUCAAUGGACGCAAGUCUGAACCAGCCAUGCCGCGUGCAGGAAGACGGCUCUAUGAGUUGUAAACUGCUUUUGUACGAGGGUAAACGCAGAUACGCGUACCUGUCUGAAAGUAUCGUACGAAUAAGGAUCGGCUAACUCCGUGCCAGCAGCCGCGGUAAUACGGAGGAUUCAAGCGUUAUCCGGAUUUAUUGGGUUUAAAGGGUGCGUAGGCGGUCGUAUAAGUUAGAGGUGAAAUCCCGAGGCUCAACUUCGGAAUUGCCUCUGAUACUGUGCGGCUAGAGAGUAGUUGCGGUAGGCGGAAUGUAUGGUGUAGCGGUGAAAUGCUUAGAGAUCAUACAGAACACCGAUUACGAAGGCAGCUUUCCAAGCUACGUCUGACGUUGAGGCACGAAAGCGUGGGGAGCAAACAGGAUUAGAUACCCUGGUAGUC